AGGUCAUUUCAAAAGAGGGCCAAUGGGACCAAAUCCAGGAGCUCUUAAUGCUGUGGCUAAAGAUUGAGUUCUCCGUAGGAUGUUAAGAGUCACUCAGUGGUACUAUGUUUUCCUGAUGGAGAUACAAGA
ensembl:snoRNA